ACAGGCUGUAAUCAGGUUUGAUAGGGUUCCAGAUAUGAUUUAGACUGCUUGCUUUUAUUCUGACGACAACAUAGUGAAUCACAUGAUGCUGAAACAACAGGUUACGUACAGGCUGCAAUCAGAACAGUGAAACCAUGAUUUCUAUUGACAUGAUGGCUCACCCAUCGGAAGUUCUGGUCAUUUGCCGACAAACAUGCCAGCCCUGUUCAUAUAGCUACAGAUUUACUCUCAUAUGGCCAACUCCAACAAUGCUCUCAUGCGUUCAGAUUUGAUGAGAUUUAUUGAACUUGCUCAAGAUGAUGGGGUACUCAUGGUGAUGUGGUGUUGCCAGUCCAAUAAAGUCACAUUCAUCUCGACUCCAGAGAUCAUUCAUCAGGAAACAACUAUAGUGGGGCUUUAUAAAGUGAUGGAUGCCCGUCUGCACCAAAGCAAACCUAGUAUCUUUCUAUUUCCUUGAAGAAUCAUGCUUGU